GAUGAAGAACGUAGCGAAAUGCGAUAAGUAGUGUGAAUUGCAGAAUUCAGUGAAUCAUCGAAUCUUUGAACGCACAUUGCGCCCCUUGGUAUCCCGAGGGGCAUGCCUGUUCGAGCGUCAUUUCACCACUCAAGCCUGGCUUGGUGUUGGGCGACGUCCCCUUUGGGGACGCGCCUUGAACGCUCGGCGGCGUGGCACCGGCUUUAAGCGUAGCAGAAUCUUUCGCUUUGGAAGUCGGGGCCCCGUCUGCCGGAAGACCUACUCGCAAGGUUGACCUCGGAUCAGGCAGGGAUACCCGCUGAACUUAAGCAUAUCAAUAAGCGGAGGA
rnacentral:misc_RNA from 1 species